GGUAAGAGUAGAUUAUCAGCGAUAGUGACUAAAAAUGGGACGUUGUUUUAGUACGAAUAAAUUUUUUAAAUUUGCGAUUGAUAAUCGCGUUCACUACU
rnacentral:ncRNA from 2 species